CUUCUGACCUUUCAUUGAUACCAGCAGUCCUUACCAUCUCCUUCUGAGUCUUAUACUUCUCUCUCAUUUUGCUAAUGUUUCAACAGAUCAACCUAAAAAAGGUUUUACUCCAGACAUCAAGCCUUAAGGGUCCAAGCUAAGAUCCUCAGGCAGUUACUCUUCUUCCGUGAUGUACAACCUCUGGGGAGUGUCGUACGUGGAUUCCCUCCAGGACCACACUGCAGCCAGAACUCUGCAGACCCACAGAUCCAACUGUCUCCUGCACAUCACCAUGUAGUACUCCCAGAGGCAAAAUCGCCACCUACCCAGGUUUCCCACUCAUCUCCACUAUCCAUGAGGCUCCCAGAUCCUGACAGUUCCACCGUGCACACCUGUGUCCUCUCCUGACGGCCACAUCAACUUCCUCUGGGCUCUUCUCCUACCAGUUGGC